UUCAUGCAAGCACAAGUGAGUCAGGAUGCAUUUCACCUCCAGUUGCUCCUCUAGAAUAUUACCCACUGGGUAGCAUUAUUUUCAUAGAUCGAGAGAUAAUGAGAGUGAAAAACUGGACCUCUCUUGCUAUUUGACUUGAAAGUGUGCCAAUGAAAUUUGAAAGUAUGCACAUGAAGCUACUCCACGUGAAACAUGUGCGAAGUAUUUCAUAAAGUCACACCCAAGGCGUGCAAACAAUGAGGCUCCUUGAACCAGAAAUAUAGAUGCCAUGAAGAAAUGAAGAUUGUCAUUUCCAAAGCCAUUCAUCCUAAAAGAAAUUAAAUUUCAUACUUGAAAAGUUUCUUAGAUCUAUUUCUUGAAUGUUG